UCGUACGACCACCAAAGUUAAGCAACGUCGAGCCUGAUCCGUACUUAGAUGGGUGACUACUUAGGAAUACCAGGUGUUGGA